UCUGUGUAAGGCAGAAGGUAACAACGCUUUUAUUGCUCAAACCUGAGGCGGCAGCUUGCGUCGUUUGCCCGUUCGGAGACUUGUGCUCAGGCUAUUUACAGCACUUGGUUGCUGUCAAGAAACACAACAAGAAAUCCAGGGAAUGGAGAAUGUGGAGAAGUCCAAAUAAGGGAGGAUUACCAGCUGAGAAAGGCUACGUAUGUUGGCAGCUUAUCUUUACUAUAGCAUGGGAUGCAUCUGAGAAAGAUUCGUCAGGAGCAGUGGCAACUGGAAAGCUGAGAGAUGGACCAUAAUUAUGAAAGUAAGGUGGCCUUCAUCCCAGGAAAACCAUCUGUCUCACCAGGGACUUUAAGACUAAGACUUUAAUGAGUGCUAACAUUAGAAGUGCAUGCAGACCUCUCCAACACAAAAUAACUGAGCCUGUCCUCAACCCUGUCUUCAGUGAACCUGAGAGCUUGAGAACACGGCUCAAAUGUGCACUCCCAUGCUUGCAGAGUGGGUGGACCAGGUCUGAACC